rnacentral:antisense_RNA from 1 species
AUAGGAAUAAAUCUUUCUAGUAAUGUGUUGCAACUUUACUAUACAGGAUUUAUUCCUUUUG